AGGCAACGUAAACAAGCGCUAUAUUUCUCUAUAAACGAUGGUGUCUGUACUGCCUUACCACUUCAAGCUCGAUCCAGAGAGUUCAGACGGCCGUUACGAUAUAAACGAUCUCCGUCAAUGAACGCGAUUGGAUUUAACUUUUUUAGGUGUCCUUAGCUCUGCCAGAAUGCUAAACGAAGACGAAAAUGUGUUGCAAAGACAUCCAAAAGGUUUUAAGGAGAAUGCAACAUGUUCCAGGGCCUCUUACCUGCGUGAUUCAUCAUCCAGGUUUUGCACAAAUUGUCUAAAUCCCUACACACAGAACAUUUAUUGUACCGACUAUAAGCCUUUGAGGUGCAGGACUAGAAUACGCUUGGAGCUUCCUGAUCAGAUCGGUCACAAUUUUGGCUUUCGACGACCCCUGCACUGAAGAUGGCAUGCAAU